rnacentral:lncRNA from 1 species
AUAGAUUCAUAUUCGACCAUAAUUAUUUAUUUCAACAUUUCUCUGCACUACCAGACUUUGGGUUCCCUGCAACUAAAAAUAUUGCUUGGACCUCAUGCUGUACCUGAAUACCUGAGAGGAAACAAAUUCUACCAGUUGCUGUUGGAAGAAAAAGAUCUUUUUCAUUCUUGGAUGCUUUAUAUUUGGACAGAGAAAGAAUCAGAAUCCGUCCUUCUUUUUCCUAACUGGAAUUUGAGAGACAUGAGAAGGGACCUAAACACGCAGCCUUCAGUAUCUGGUGGAAAGAGAUAAGGUGUCUCAAGGAACGUUGGCCUCAUCAAGAGAUACUACUCCUGAUCUUUUCAUUUUACUUUCCUCGGGUCUGCCUAAACUCAGUGUCUCUCCUAGAAAACCAGCCAACUCACGAAAAACUGUUUGUAAGAAAAUGUUCUCAACACAAAGAAAUAAUAAAGGUUUGAGAUGAUAAAUAUGCUAA